rnacentral:snRNA from 1 species
AAAUGUGAGGACAAUCUGGCUGCGACAUCUGUCACCCCACUGAUCACCAGGGUUGAUUCAGCUGAUCUAGUUGACUGAGCACCUGGUGUCCCUCCUGACACCAAUAGAGGAGGACCGUUCUUUGGUCAAGGGUGUAUGAGUAGCUGUGGUCCCCUACUGUAACUUCCAAACAGCUCUCAAGAGUAUAAGACCAGCUCUGGCGAAAAGGUAGUAACAAAAGGGCUAGAGAUAUAGCUCAAGUGGGAGAGUGCUUGCCU